rnacentral:rRNA from 1 species
AUUGAACGCUGGCGGCAGGCCUAACACAUGCAAGUCGAGCGGAUGAAGGGAGCUUGCUCCUGGAUUCAGCGGCGGACGGGUGAGUAAUGCCUAGGAAUCUGCCUGGUAGUGGGGGAUAACGUCCGGAAACGGGCGCUAAUACCGCAUACGUCCUGGGGGAGAAAGUUGGUGAUCUUCGGACCUCACGCUAUCAGAUGAGCCUAGGUCGGAUUAGCUAGUUGGUGGGGUAAAGGCCUACCAAGGCGACGAUCCGUAACUGGUCUGAGAGGAUGAUCAGUCACCCUGGAACUGAGACACGGUCCAGACUCCUACGGGGGGCAGCAGUGGGGAAUAUUGGACAAUGGGCGAAAGCCUGAUCCAGCCAUGCCGAGUGUGUGAAGAAGGUCUUCGGAUUGUAAAGCACUUUAAGUUGGGAGGAAGGGCAGUAAGUUAAUACCUUGCUGUUUUGACGUUACCAACAGAAUAAGCACCGGCUAACUUCGUG